rnacentral:lncRNA from 1 species
GAGGGGAGCAGCGGAGACAGAGUCUCACGCACAGGUAUGCCCAGACACCCUGAACCCAGUUACUUAACCUCGUCAACCACUGUGGCAUCCGCGGGGUCCGUGGGCCCAUGGGUCUUCCGGGAGGGAUUCUGUGUCCCUGUUAUUGUGUGUCAAUAGGUGUUAGCCUGAUAUUUAUAUUUUUAAUGAGAGAAAACAAACUCCAGAAUUUGGGAACUGUUUUUCCGGUUUUGCUUUAUACCUCUUGGACACUCCUUCGAAGGACUGGAUCUGAGGGGCAUUGGGGUGCGACUACGGUGGACAAGGGAUGAUUAAUUUUCAUCCAAAAAUCUUUGGUGGAUUCCCCCGGCUCUCCAGCUCACCAGUCUAACAGUAGUUUAAAACAGAAGAUCAGCAACGUUUGGAGAGUUUUUUUUUCUUUGCGUUUUAAUGAUAAACUUGAUUUAUUCAAUUCUAUUCUGAGGUUGUCUUUCUAUAUUUUGAGUAUAAAACGAUGGCCAUACUAUGUUGGAACCACUAAGGUUCUUCUCUUCACUUGUUAUUCGUAAAGUCUCUUUGUAAUCUGAGAAUUUCCUGAGUAAACUGGGAACUGUUAUACAUAAUUCCUUGUUUUUGAGCAUUCUUUGUAAACAGGAAUCAGGAUUGGGGGUGGGGAGGGAGGGAGGAGUAGGAGUGCUGAUUUGUGUAACGGAAAAUCAUGGAUUACUUAUGUGAUGGAGCAAAGGUUUAAAAACUCUUAGCGUCCCCGGAUUUCCCCUUUUACUGUUUGCUGAAGAAAAUUCUGUCUUUGACUCCCUUCCUUACCCUCUCCUGGCCUGUGAGCUGCUUCCUCCCUAUUCAGUUUAUUUCCUCCUCCCCUCCCCGCCCCACUCCCCCACCCCCGCAGCCCCCUCCUCUUUUUCAGUGAAGCUGCUGGAGGAAAGUCGGGUUUGGGAGAAGACCCACACAGGCAAGGACAGCAGAACACUGACAUAUAGUUACACUCUUGUCGCCAGCACUGUCAUUAAGAUGUUGUGAAAAGACAAAGACAAAAGAGGAGAGGAAAGAAUAAUAUCUCCGUUUCAGGAGAUAUUCCACAAUAUUCCAGGAUGUUGUGCCUACUGUCCAGAGUCCUUGAUCCGAUGUAGUAAAGAGCUAGGGACAUUUUCACUGAAGGCUUUGAUUGCUGGCAAAAUCUCAUUAAAAGUGUAUACAUUGAUAGGUUGGCCACAGAAUGGCCAAAGAAGAGCCUCUGGCCUACAUCUGCCAAGAUAUAUGUGUAAGAAUACACUCUGCAGCAUUAUUUUUUAUUGUAAAAUAGCAGAACGAAUUUAUUAUUCAAUAAUUAUAAAAUGUUCAAAUGUAUGUGACUAUAUUCGGACAAUGAAAAAUGCAGCUGUUAAAAAUAGACAAUACUGAUGAUUCAGAUGAUGUUACUGAUGAAAAUAAUAACAGAUGACAAUUAUUGAGCAUUUAUGCAAUCUUACAUGCAUUACCUUAUUUAAAGUUCAGAACAACUAAGGAAAUGAGUAACUUGGGGCGGGCGUGAGAGGUUUGGAGGCACAAAAGGAAGAUAGGCAUUCAAGGGACACCAGGAUAGAAGAGCCACAGUAGAAGAGAGAGGAAGAGGAGUCCGCCAGGUGGGAUGCUGCAAGCCGCUGGAUAGCACGGCGGAGAUAGGGCGUUCCUGCCCCGCAAGCCUCCCUGCGACCGCAGGCCUCCGGCCGCCUUCUUCCAGGAAGACGCGCCCUGCUUUCUUCUGAUGUUGGUAGAGACGCUGCAAAGCGCAUCGUCCUCGAGCAUUUCUUCUCUCCCCAAGACCCUCCGAAGGAGCAUUUCUUCUCUCCCCAAGACCCUCCGAAGGAAGGAUGGGCGGACAGACUAAGUGGUCAAACGCGCAGAGCUCCAGCUUCCGCAGGAGCAUUUCCCGAGUGUCUUUCAUGGAUCUGGAUUUUCAUCUGGUAUUGGAUUCCUUCUGCCCGGAAGACUCCUUUGACGUUUCUGUAGUGUGGGUCAGCUGGUAGUGAAUUCGGUCAGCUUAUGAACUCAAAAGAGGUGUAGGAGGAGAGAAGCUCAAUUAUCACCCUGGUCUCCUGGAGUAUCCCAGGCACAGUCCCAAGAGUUCAGCUUUUCAUACUCGAGUUCCUGGGUCCUGAAGGCCUUUUUGGGGAAAGUACUGAUGUUCGUGUCAAGGUUGGGAAGAAAGGGUUUGGGAGGAACCAAGCAACAGGGAGGCAAAGAGAAGACAUCAACAAGCGAGGCAAGAACUUUCCACAGGCUCACACUGGAUACAGGACCAGAGACAAGAAGCUGGCGAAGCCUAUAUGGGUUCCCGAUGUCACAUCGCAGCUACCGCAUUGGAGGGUUAAGAGCCGCUGACAAAUCUCUUUCGGGAAGGGAAGAAGAGUUCCAAACAAAAGAUCUACUACCCUGAGAAGCGGUGAAGUGCUCCUGGGGCCCACCAAGGCCACACAAGUCAAGGAGUGGAUGGCCUUGCCCCAGCUAUGGCUCAGAUCACCUUUGCAGGAUGACAUCUUGUUGGGAGAUGGUCAUCAGAGACAGGGCCAUGGAAGACGCUGUCAGGAGGAGGCACAGAGGAAAGGCUAUGGGAGCACAAAGCAAGAAAGUGGCCUUCUGCAAGCCAGGAAGAGAGGCCUCCCCAGAAACCAACUCUACCAGCACAUUGAUCUUGGACUUUUGGCCUCUAGAACAUUGAGAAAAUAAAAGUCUGCUGUUAAACCACCCAACCUUUGGUAUCUUUCUAUGGCAGCCUGAGCUGACUAACACCCUUGGUAGGUGGGCAGCAUUCACCUUAUUGGGCUACAUGAUGAGAAGUUAAAGUAACUUUAGCAAUAGGCACCAUUUGAUUUCAUUGUAUAGAUAUUGUGUCUUUUGCACUGAUUUUGCCUUUUUUAGUUGUGUGUAUAUUGAUGCCUGGGCCUAGCAUUACAAGACUAGUCGAAAUGGGAAGAAAGAAAAGAAAGUGGGAAAGAUACCAAGUUCCAUAAUUGCAUCCUCUACCCACAUCCAGUUCUUAGAAUCUUUUCCAAUGGAGACUGCACCUUGUGUACACUCAAAUUCAAUCUGAGCGCACAAUCAUUUAGACAACCAAGGCAACUUUUCCAAUUUUCAGCAUCACACGCUUGGGAAAACAAGUAUUUCAAUCACUAAUUUAAAUAUUCAUUGAGGUAAUUAUUCUGAGGUUGAUGAAAAAUAUGGUGUAUCCAUGUACUGUUGCCUUCUCCUGGGUCAAGAAUGUUGUCUUUACUCUGCUGGCUCACAUUUGACCAGAAAUUGGAGUCCCAGCAAAUCUUACUAGCCACUCAGGAAGCCUAUUUUAAGAUAGUCCCAAUCUCAAACUUGUUCUAAGACUUGUAUGCUGACUGAGGAGAAAGAGCCUCAUGACAAAAAUUCAACUAGAGCUGUGGGUGACAGUUGUGUGUCUCACUACUGGUCUGGGCCCAGGUUUCCCGUGAGCACCUAAUGAAUAGACUCAAUUGCAGGGAUCGUCAAGAUGCUCACUAUGUCUACCUCAUAGCCUCAAAAGAAGUGAUAACUAACAGAAUUUGUGUAGUAUCCUGAAGGGAAAUUAAUCCAGAUAUAGAGGAAAAGAUAAGGAUUUUUUAAAACAGACAUGUGAUUCAACAGUUGUUUAAGAUGCAGAAAGCUGUAAGAGACAGUUGUUCCCACUCUAAUGACAAGAAAAAGCUGUAUGGUCUGCAAAAUCAUACGUGCUUUGAUCCCACCAGAGAGCUGAAGUUGCAAGGCCCCUGAGUCAGCUGAAGUCCAAAGCGUGAGAAAACCCCCUAUAGAAGGACAAACACAUGAAGCAGUUCAUCUUUGACAGAUAAUGGAAGGAAAAGAUGGCAGCCAUAAAUGUUCAUUGGAGAAAAUCACUGAAGAUUUCAUCAUUUCUUAAAGGCCAAGUGUGAACUAUUGUGACAGAUUAGAAACUCUGAGAGUCCCAGAUACAUAGCAUGGUUUUGCCCAUUUGCUGGGUCCUUCCUCCCACGUCCUUAGUGCUGACAAGACACAUGUAACAGGGAAAGAGGAUUUCUCAAGCUUGCCACAGUGGCGUAGGCAUAAAAGUCAUGAUCACAUGAUCGACCACCACCAGAGUACAGGCACAAAACCUGGUUGCUUCUCACAUAAAACAAAAGGCAUCUACCACUGAUGUUGGAGCUAGGAACUCGUCCAACCCUUGGCCCCAGGGAUAGGGCAACUGCUGAGGUAGGGUUAGACAGAAAAACUGUCUGUAUUGGACAAGGGGAGGAGACUUGCUCUUGCCCAAGACUUCCCAUCAUUGAAAGGUAGUGUUCCGCUACCCCAAGGGGAUGUCACAGGAACACUAGGACCCAGGUAUCCAUGGCCUGAGGCUUGAUACACAUUCAGUGCAAUCAGUAAUGUGAGUUGGUUUCGACCAAUCAUUUGAGUUGGUUGCAGACCCUUUCCUCUAAUGAGGAAAAACUGUGGUGUGGGUACAAAGUUUCCACGUUCAGAAAGAUUGGCCUUGUCCUUACAGAUAUUAUAUUGAUUGGAUUUCUCUCAACCUCCUUAAGUUAUGUUUACCAUUAUUAAAAUUAAGUGACAUUCACUUGGAAGAAGUGGUAAUACAAACAGGUUGUGAGAAUUUAUAGUGAUUUUUGAUCCCAAGCCUUGUAUCACUGUUGGGUCUUCAUGUGUGUACUUGAAAACAAAACAUGUACAAUUGUUGCACUGGUUUGAAGAUUUUAAUGGUGGAAGUGACCUAAUCAGUAAUCAGUACUGUAUCUAGAAACGAAUCUUGGAAAUAUGUGAUUAUGCUCUUUUAAAAUCGCUGAAAAGAAGGCUGGGUGUGGUGGCUCAUUCCUAUAAUUCCACACUUUGAGAGGCUGA